ensembl:miRNA Gm23424 predicted gene, 23424
AGAAAUGGGCAACUGCUGACAUGGGGGCUGAAGUCAGGCGCCAAGCAGAGGGUACUUUGCAUCUUAACUCCGGAACAUCGAUCCUCCUUGACAGCCUUGGGUGUCAGGCU